AACUCCAAGUACACCAACACCACAAGCUUCACCUGCACCAAGUCCGAAAUCUACACCAUCCCCAUCUACAGUAUCCCCAUCAAUAACUUAUCCGGAUUCACCAACCCCAAUUGCACCAACCCCAUCUGCACCUAUGACACCUAAACUCACCCCCAGUUCACCAACACCACAAGCUUCACCUCCACUAAGUCCGAAACUAACUCCGAGUCCACCAACACCACAAGCUUCAUCCCCACCAAGUCCCAAACUAACUCCGAGUCCACCACCACCAAAAGUUUCACCUUCACCAAGUCCGAAACCAACACCAUCCCCAUCUAUAGUUUAUCCAGAAGGAUCUUAUUUACAUCCACCAGGUCCGAAAUCAACUCCAAGUACACCAUCACCACAAGCUUCACCUGCACCAAGUCCGAAACCAACACCAUCCCCAUCUAUAGUUUAUCCAGAAGGAUCUUAUUUACAUCCACCAGGUCCGAAACCAACUCCAAGUACACCAACACCACAAGCUUCACCUGCACCAAGUCCGAAACCUACACCAUCCCCAUCUACAGUAUCCCCAUCAAUAACUUAUCCAGAUUCCCCAACCCCAAUUGCACCAACCCCAUCUGCACCAAUAUCUUUUACACCUAUGACACCUAAACUCACCCCCAGUUCACCAACACCACAAGCUUCCCCUCCACUAAGUCCGAAACUUACUCCGAGUCCACCAACACCACAAGCUUCAUCCCCACCAAGUCCCAAACUAACUCCGAGUCCACCAACACCACAAGUUUCCCCAAGUCCGAAACCUACACCAUCCCCAUCUACAGUAUCCCCAUCAAUAACUUAUCCGGAUUCACCAACCCCAAUUGCACCAACCCCACCUGCACCAAUAUCUUUUACACCUAAACUCACCCCCAGUUCACCUUCACCAAGUCCGAAACCAACACCAUCCCCAUCUAUAGUUUAUCCAGAAGGAUCUUAUUUACA
rnacentral:lncRNA from 1 species